CGUCUGCCAGGACAGCUCUGCGCGUGCGCAAUGCGUCCCCAUUCGGAGCUUCAUGCGCAUGUGCGCGGGGCUAGGGCUGUAGUACGCAUGUGCCUGCCUUUUCGGUGGUUUUGUGUCCGCUCUCGGGGUGAGGGGAGUGGUAGCGUUGUUAGGUUUUAAAUAUGAAAUGAUCCUAUUGGAAGCUCAAAAUGAUCGUAUUUGCUAAAAAUGUUGUAUGCUGAAACAAAAACCGAUGGACAUGAGUAUGUAAAUGUGCCUUCUUCUUUACUUUCUAUUACUCACUGGCUCUAGAGUGAGUGAGUGAGAAGUGGGCCAUCAGUUGAAGCGUUUCUUUAUUUGAAGACAAGCUGUUGUGAAAAAGUGCUGACAGCAAACCGAGAAGUGGGUUAAGACUCCCUCAGAGUUGGGUUUGCAUAUGCUGUGUCAAUUAGCUGCCUCAAAAGUUAUUGUAUGUUUUGAACGCUUUUACUGUUAUCUAUUGUGCAGGGGUUGAAACAAUUGCACAAAUAUGAAGAUUAUCAUAGACCUGGCAGCGCUGGCACUGAUGCAGCUUGACACCUCAGCCUGCAUGGGAGCCCUUAGGAAUAAGCCUCCUGGGCUGCUAUUCAGUGCUUUUGUUUUUUCUAUAAGGUGUGAAUCUACCCUGCCUUGUACCUGACUUCAUCCCAACAUGGGUAACUUAAGUUUCUGGGAGCUGGCCUGAAGAACGCCACCAUGACAGCCAGCUGCAUUUUGGCUGGUCGGGCUGCCAAACGGAAAGCCCCCCGCCCCCCCAGGUGUUAUGCGGGAUGUUAAGUUACUCAAUUAUCACCUGAUUUUUUCAGUACAGCUCGUGGUGCAGUAGCUCAGCAGUUAUUGCAGCUGCCUGGGCUAUCUGCAAAGCAACCCUGCGAUCUCAAUGGGAUGCCCAAGCUGUGUCCAAGUGAUCUCAUGCAGUGUGACUGUUCUGCUCAGCCUUAUGAAGGAGCUCUGUAGCAAAGGCAGGGUUUGAGAUACACUGGACACCAUUUUCAAAAGUCUUGAAAACCCUCACUUCAAGCAGAAGUCAAUGGGAUUUGCAAAUCAUUAGCAACUCAGUAUCUCUGAAAAUCAGUUCCAAGGUGUCUCAGUUGGUGUGUCCAAAAUUUGAUGCCACUUAUGAAAAUGUUGGACUUGGCAAAUACAGCUAUCAGGCAAGUGACCGAAAGAAGCCUCUUAGCUUUUUCUACCUCCUGUUGAAUUCCUCAAAUAAGAAAAAGCUGACAGAAAAAUAGUGGCUUGCCCAGAAAUAGGUAUUAAGUGUGUGUAUUCACUAGAAAAGGAAAGGCUUUCAGCAGAAAAGUAAGCUAUAACUUGCUCUUUUAAAAUUAUUCCCCCUCCCCGCCCAUUGCAAUCCUUUGACACUUGCUGGAUUGGUAAAGACAGUCCACAACAUACAUUUCUGUGGUAUAACUGAUAGCCCAAGUCCCAUGCAAUGUUUGUGGGACAUAUCACAACCUUUGGAAUUGUAUUAUAUAUACCUUUUUAUCUCUCACCUAUAUAAAGAAUUACAGAUUUUUACAAGCACUGGCCCUAUUUGAGGAUGUCACUUCAGCACAAUUAGUGUUGCUUAAUGUUAAGUGUUUGCUGACCUGAUAUUCUAAAUCAGAAAUUUAGAGGUGAUCCUCACCUGGUGGUUACUACUAUUUGUAGUUCUCUUGGUGAUACUAGUGCUAGUCAUAGUAUGGUGCACAGUAGUUAUAAGGUCAAUUCAUCUGUAUCAUUAAAGUAUAGGGUUUGAGCUCAUACUCAGGGACUGAACCUGCUUGGUGUUGAGUGCUUUCUGUUGUCUUUAUGCAUGGGUGUCCACUUAAGUUCUGAAUGUAUGUAGAUAACAUUGGGCACAUUGCAGGACUGAGCCAUACUGGUCUAUGCCUGCUUCUAAUAAAAGUGAUGGCAAAACUUCUGUUAGCUUCUACUGGGUUACGAAGAAACAUUUAGGCUAGGAUUUGUAAUGAAGCCAAAAACCUUAGGCAUCCAACUCCAAAUGACAUAUGUUAGGAUUCAAACACCUAAACCUUUUGGCUAUGUAUAAACAGUCAAAAAGCCCAAGGCUGAAUCAAUUCAAUCUUUGCAGGUUAGUGUAAACCACAGGUUGUGGGGGAGGUGCAAAGCAUCCUGGGAUGCUGCAGGACUAUAAGUUAACUUGAAUCUGGAGGGGAUCUGGGAGGGAAGUUCAAUAAACUGAUUUAACCUAAAUGAUUUAAGUCUAAUCCAUCCAGGUUUAUCUUAAACUGUAUUCAGCCAUUUUGAAAGUGGUUUAUGUACACCGAACUUGUGUUGUGUUACAGAUUUGAACCAGUUUCUGAUCAGUUAUACCAGUUUGUGUAACUUCUGUCCCUAGUCCUUGUGUUCUUUUGAAAAGCACAGCAUUAGGGAUUUUUAUUAUCCUAAAAAGGAACCCUAGCAGCUGUUCUGCAGCAUAAUUUAUUUCAAGAUAUCCAGAUUUUCUGUUCUGUCUGUAGAAUAGUGAUAACUGUUUGAAAAUCAAACAAAUAAAAGUAACUUGAGAAAUAA